AGCAAGGUGUGGGUCUGUGGUCCAAAUCACCUGUCAAAACCAAGUGGCUAGCCACUGACAGACUAGGAUGUGAACUCACACCUUUCAAGCCUCUACUUGUCUAGCAGGCUUGUCCAUCAUCAGAAAGAGGAAGGUGAAGCCAAUCCCUGUUCCUUGGUGGCAAACAGCCCUGGACUGGAAUAUCCAGUACUCUCAGGAAUCUUUGCCUCCCACCCAGUGUCACCCAGCUGAACACGAUGCUGUUAUGAAGGGCCCAUGAAUUAAAGAAUAUGCAGACAAAAACA